rnacentral:misc_RNA from 1 species
AAGAAACUGGAAAAUUCCGUAGUUGUUUCCUAUUUUCGGGCAAUAAUGUGUAUUCAUUAAAUCGUUUUCGAAAAAUUGCAAUUUGUGCAGGUUCAGCCAGCAGAAUAUGUGUCGAAGUCAAAAGCGAAAUAUUAAUAUUUGUAUUUUCUAACGAUGACAUAAAUAUUUCUUUUAUUAUCAGAAAUGUUGUUAAUAAAAACAUCAUUUGUUGUUAUCGAGUUAGAAAGUGUUACCUACCCAUUGAUAAAACCAAUGCAGUAAUUUGUGCAAUGUGGAGCAUUUCUAAAAAGUGCCCAGGGAACUAAAACUACUUCCGAAUCAUUCACUGCAGGAACAUCAACCAUCAACUGAAGUUCAUCACCAACCCUUGAACCCCAAUUCAAGGACAUCAGGACCUAUUUCAGUCGAGGAAUCAUUCACUGCAGGAACAUCAACCAUCAACUGAAGUUCAUCACCAACCCUUGAACCCCAAUUCAAGGACAUCAGUACCUAUUUCAGUCGAGGAAUCAUUCACUGCAGGAACAUCAACCAUCAACUGAAGUUCAUCACCAACCCUUGAACCCCAAUUCAAGGACAUCAGUACCUAUUUCAGUCGAGGAAUCAUUCACUGCAGGAACAUCAACCAUCAACUGAAGUUCAUCACCAACCCUUGAACCCCAAUUCAAGGACAUCAGUACCUAUUUCAGUCGAGGAAUCAUUCACUGCAGGAACAUCAACCAUCAACUGAAGUUCAUCACCAACCCUUGAACCCCAAUUCAAGGACAUCAGUACCUAUUUCAGUCGAGGAAUCAUUCACUGCAGGAACAUCAACCAUCAACUGAAGUUCAUCACCAACCCUUGAACCCCAAUUCAAGGACAUCAGUACCUAUUUCAG